rnacentral:rRNA from 1 species
GACGAACGCUGGCGGCGUGCUUAACACAUGCAAGUCGAACGGAAGGGCCCUGCUUUUGUGGGGUGCUCGAGUGGCGAACGGGUGAGUAACACGUGAGUAACCUGCCCUUGACUUUGGGAUAACUUCAGGAAACUGGGGCUAAUACCGGAUAGGAGCUCCUGCUGCAUGGUGGGGGUUGGAAAGUUUCGGCGGUUGGGGAUGGACUCGCGGCUUAUCAGCUUGUUGGUGGGGUAGUGGCUUACCAAGGCUUUGACGGGUAGCCGGCCUGAGAGGGUGACCGGCCACAUUGGGACUGAGAUACGACACAGACUCCUAUGGGAGGCAGGAGUGGGGAAUAUUGCACAAUGGGCGGAAGCAUGAUGCAGCCAAGCCGCGUGGGGGAUGACGGCCAUCGGGUUGUAAACCGCUUUCGCCUGUGACGAAGCGUGAGUGACGGUAAUGGGUAAAGAAGCACCGGCUAACUACGUG